GGUGUAGCUCAGUGGCAGGGUAUGUGCUUCGCAUGCACAAGGCCCUAGCUUCAAUUCCUAGCACC
rnacentral:tRNA from 1 species